rnacentral:tRNA from 1 species
GACGGUUAGAAUUUUCACUUACAAUGAAAGAUACCUUUAUAGGCGUUUUUAUAUUGUUAAAAAUUUAAU